AGAAAGAAAAAUAGUGGAUAAAAGCAUGAAAGAAAAACUACUCCUCAAUCUGAAACAAAUUGGGUCAGCUCUACGAAUAAGAUUAUUUCAUUAUGUAUUGCUGAACCCAUCAUUCUUUUGCCCUAAGAAUGGUCCUAAAACGACCCUAAUAAUGUGAAACAGUCUCACCACAAGACUGAAACUUCAGCCCAUACAGUCUAAAGAGCCCCCGGAAGAUGCUUGAAACAUAGGAAAAUCAUUCAACUAACAGAUUAAUUUAGGUAUGAUUAUGAGCUUUCAGUGUGCACGCGAAUCUUAAACUUUGGAAUCGCUUAAAAGUAAGGAGCUCUCAAAAACAUAUUCUUGGAGCAUUACCCAUCAAAUGAACCUUUUCUAAAUGGUAAGAUGCAGAAACAAAGUUUUUCAGAUAACCAAAGUGCUACGACUAGAAUUAGGUAAAAUGACAUUAUCGGCGACAAGAUAAUAAAAUGUUAUGAAAGCUUAAAUGUAUGGUUUUACAUUCAGUAAUUGCAUGUGAAGGUUUCGAAAAGAAAAAAUGGCAGCCCUAAACACAAUUCAUUUCCAUCCUACUCAUUAACUGUUUUCUUAAAACUGCUGAUAAAAUUUGGUGCUAAGAUAGGAACGCACUUAAGCAAAAUAGAAAGGCCUGUGAUAUCCCAGUAUAUUUCUUUCAUGCUUUUGGAAACUCAUGUGCCUGCAGGAACCAAAUAUUCCGGUCAGAUAGCUCAUCAAAACCUUCCACCUUAAAAUAUAUGCCCAGUUUGGUUACUAGGAAGGGUGUUCAAGAUAUUCAAAAACUUUUUUUGUACGGAGCUUCGGUAAAUAUAUUAGCCAACAUAGAGAAGAACAAGCAUGAGAAGAUUUAUAUUUGGUUCAUUUUAGGAGUGAAAAGUUUCAGCCCAGACCAACUUAGACUGCAAUUGCUUCAUAGGAGUAUCCAUGCUAACCCAGUAACGUUUAGAGCUUUAAUGGUUCAGCAAGAGAAGCCCCUAUUUUCCAAGAAACCCAUUGCAUACCCUUUACAACCAGUCCACCACCACAACCCUACCCAAACGAGGAAACAAAAUGGGGAAUUUAAGAAAAGACAGCAGAAAAAAAUUGUAGAAUUAUAGAAAAUCAAACUAAACCCAGUUACUACUUGCAUGAAUAUUAAUAGAAGUUUCCAGAGUAAAGGUAUGAAUAAAGUAGGUGUUUAAUGACGAUUACAAAUUAUUAGCUAUUCUGUUACACCCACACAAAAAAAAAUAAGAGAUAUGUAGUAACAUAAUUUUCAAAAUACAAUAAAUAAAAGGUAUCCAAUUUACAGCCCAAUAAUUUGUGAUGUCAUUCUUUCUAGUUGCCAGUUCUAAGUUAUUCAACAGGGUAAAACCACAGCUGCACAACCAUACGUUCUGUUCAUAGAUGUAUAGAGUCAAUAGGUUUCACCAUCUCACUUUUAAUUUGUUGGUUUUCCAUUCAUGUUAAAAAAAUGUCUUUCAGAUUUCUCUCUUUUUCUAGAGUACAAGUGAAAAGUUAGAGCAGUAUUGGGGUAAAUCCAUUACUGCUGUUAUUCACCACUCACUAUAAAUAACCUGCGAAAGUGAUACAAGUUACAUGGUACUUCAGCCUCAUCCUAUGUAGAAGCCUAGAAGAAGCUAGCAAGGCAAGGAUGGUAUGCCAUAUUACUCUCCCAUACAGUGUUGAAAAAAGGAAAGGGAGGAGGGAUGUCACUCCACAAGAGCUUUUCUGCUCCCUUUCCGCAUAAAUAUGUCCAGUCAUCAACACAAAAUGCAAGAAACAGAAGCACAAUAUCAAAACUGGUGCAAGGUGUAGGUAGAGCUUCUUCCGAUAAAAAAAAGGUGUAGGUAGAGCAACUGGUCAAAGAGUGUAGGUAGAGCUAGUUACCUAAAUAACACUGGCACGUUGAAAUAUGAGAAGUAGGAAAAGAGCACCAGAAGGCAAAAAUAUUAGACAAUUUAACAAACAUCAUAAGAUCAGUCUACAUGUUUCAGUAGAAGGAAGAUUAGACAGUCAUUGAUCCAAUUCAAGACUGUGCAACACUAACUCGAAUUCUGAUCGGUAUACAUAAUCGGUG
rnacentral:lncRNA from 1 species